GUUUAGGUCACUGCAAUCUGGAACAAGGCGGCAAAGAUUUAAACCACAAGGAUAUUGCAUACCUGUUGGCCUCACCUUUUUCUUAUAGCUUAGAAAAUACAUCGGAGAAGUAACUUAGAGUUCUUCUGCAAAAAAAAAAAAAAAAAAAACGGUUUACAUUGAGAUCACAUCUAGACAUCAGCUCAUUCUGGAAAUUCUAAAUUGAUCCCAAGUAGAUGAAGUACUGUCUGUGCUAAAGAAAAGCAUAUAAUAUAAAGCACAUAAAUUUUACCAGCAUGCAGCUAACAACUUUUUUUCCCGGCCCCUUAAUGCUGGAGACUGAAACCAGGGCAGACUAGGCUAUCCAUUCAUGACUGAACUACACCUCUAGCCCCUUGCUGGUAAAUUUUUUUGCGGGGGUGGUAGUGGUCCUGGUGGUGGGGGAUUGGAGACAAGGUUUCUCUGUGUAGCCUUGGCUGUCCUGGACUCACUUUGUAGAUCAGGCUGGCCUACGAAUUUACAGAGACCUGCCUCCCUCUGCCUCCUGAGUGUUGGGAUUACAGGCUUGCGCCACCAUGCCCAGCACUGGAGAUUCCAAGGCCCCAGGCCCUGGAUAGUGGAUACAAGGCAAAUUUUUUACUGUUGAGCCACCUUUUCCAGCCCUUUCUUUACUUUUCAUUUUGAGACAGGGUCUCAUUAAGUGGCUCAGAUUGGCCCUGCAAUCUUGAGAUCCUCCUGCCUUGGCUUCCUGAGUAGAUAGGAUUACAAGCCUGAGCCUCCAAGACCCUGCACAGCACUUAAUAAAAAUUAAGUUAUCUGGCCUGAGUCAGUGAAACUGGGACAGUGUGAGGGCAGUAAUGGGGCCUGAGCUUUCCCCUUGUCACCAGCAGUGUAGACAUUGUACAACAAGGUUCUUUUCCCCUUUUUUCCUUUUUUCAGCUUUGUUUCUUUUCUUCUCUUCCUUUCCCUCCCUCUCUCCCCCACAUUUUCAUUCUCUUCUCAGUACUGGGGCUAGAAUAUACUGGGCAAGUGGUGUCCCACUUAGCUACAACAAUCCCAGCCCAUCUCCCCUCCUUUUAAAUUGAUUCAUGAACACUGGAGGCUAUGACUGUUUUCUCUUGCAACUUUUUCCAAGAAAAUGAGACUAUGACACAGUUACCCAGGAGCCUCCACCAGACUCCCCUGUUCCCUAAACAGGGCUCUCACUUGGCUUUCUGGUGUUGCUUCAUUUCCUCAGAGGGUAAAAGGCAGGACUAGCCUUUCUUCCAGCUCUACGGAGAUACUCCGCCAUGAUCCUGUUGCUGAUCCUCCAGCUGUUGACUCUCUGGCCCGUGUGUCGUACAGACUUGACGCUAACAGGGCUAUGUGUUGGGCAAACAGACAUAAGUGGGAACUUUGAGUCCAUAUUCAAGCCCAGCCUCAGUGUCUGGCCCAGCUCUGUGCUUCCCACAAGGAGCAAUGUGACUCUGCAGUGUAUAACUGUUAUGCAAUAUGCAAAGUGUGUUAUUAAAAAAGAUGGUACUAAUUUGGAUAACAGGACAGUAACUGGUGUGACAGGAGGGUGGAUAUCUAAAUCACAUCUCAUUAUGGGAUGGUCCGGUACAACUGAAUUCCAUCUCGGAGAUUUACAGCAGAGUGAUGCUGGAUGCUACACCUGCGAAUGCCAUGAAGAUGAGAACUCUGAUGCAACGUCCAGUGAUCCGCUUCUGUUAUUGAUCACAGGACAUUUACCUAAACCUUCCCUCCAAGCUCAUGAAUGGAGCAGUGUGAUGGCAGGAGGGAAUGUGACCCUGAACUGUCAGAAGGCAGAUAAUGUAACCGAGUAUAAAACGUUCAUGCUACUGAAGGAAGGAGUUCCAUCACCUGUACAGAUUCAGAGUUCAGAAGGAAACAGAGCAGACUUCUCACUCCAUGAUGUGACACCCAAGGACACAGGAAAUUACAGCUGUGUCUACCACCAGACAGGAGCCCCUUUCUGGGCCUCGCACCCCAGUGACCACCUUGAGAUCUUGGUGUCAGAUUUGCUUCCCAAACCUAGCCUCAGUGCUUGGCCCAGCUCAGUGGCACCAGAGAACAGCAGUGUGACUCUGAGAUGUGUGAGUCCCAGGUCGGGCAUACAACUUGUUCUCAGAAAGGGAGGUGUUAUUUUGGAUUCCAGGCUGCCACAUCAUCUAACAGAGAGGACUGCUGAGUUCCGUCUGAAUAACCUGCAGCAGGGGGAUGCUGGAUAUUAUACCUGUGUGUACUAUAUAAAGGAGUCCCCCAGUAAAAUCUCAUCUUCCAGUGAUGUCCUCUUACUGUUGGUCACAGGAUACUCGUCUAAGCCUUCCAUUCAAGUCCACCCCUCAGGCCAGAUGACCACAGGAGGAAAGGUGAACCUGCAGUGUGAGAGGCCACACAACUUGACAGAGUAUAAAAUGUUUGCUCUGCUAAAGGAGGGCAGGCCAUCACUCCUACAGCUUCUGAGUUCAGAGAACAACAAGGUGGAAUUCACCCUUCAGAAUGUGACGGUCGGUGAUGCAGGAAGGUACAGCUGUGUGUACUUUCAGGCAGAAGCCCCCUUCAGGGCCUCACAUCCAAGUGAUCGUCUUGCUAUAUUAGUGGCAAUUUCCCCAAGUGACAUAUCAGAAUACUAUACCAAGACUAAUAUCAUCCGGCUGGGAAUGUCUGCCAUAUUUGUGGUCUUUAUGGUAAUUUUCCUGGCUGAAGCCUGGAACAGCCAGAAGCCACCACCAAACAGACCCAGGCCCUACGGCACCCCAGGGCAGCCAUGAAUCCUUGGUCAAGGAGAACAAACAGCUCUUCAUUUUUCUAUGGAGCCUGCACUGCCCACUCUUUUAGAGCUAUCCAGGGAUGGGAUAACAGCUCCAUCUCUUCAUUCCUUCAAUGCCACAGAGGACAGAACUGGGCAUGGAUACUUAUUGGAUACUUCACUGUUUUACACUUACUACACUGAAAACCACAAUCGUAUUUUUCUGUACAGACAGGGCAUGUUGGCUAGAACAUAAACCAAAGCCUUUGUACUAUGGAUCUGUUUCUGUGUUCACAAUUGUGUUAGUGUGAUCCAGAAGGCUUUAUUUUAUAAUUCCUUUAGAAUGCAUUUUGUUUGCCUUCUCAGGUAUGCUUGGCUCUGUGUUUGUAGUAUGCAAAUUAUGUACUUUUACAUCGCAUAGAUUACAUGUGUCGAAUAUACAACUAAUUGUAAUGCUUUUGAUAAAUUAUUGGGUCGAUGCUUUGUUAAUUUUGUGUGUGCUCACAUGUGUGUGUUUGUGAUGUAUGUGUGCAUGUGGAAGCCAGUAUCACCUGUCUUUCCUUUAUUACUCCCCACUAUGUUUUAACAGAUUUAUUUAUUUGUGAGUGUGUGUGUCUUAUGUGCAGCCAGAAGAGGGCAUCAGAUCCCCUUGAGCUGGAGUUCUGUAACUUUUCUGUAACUCUGCCAUAUCCCUAGUACAGCUUUUUUAGUUAUAUUUUACUUACCUUUCUUACUUUUAGUUGUAAGAAUAUAAAGAUUGUCUUUUUAAAAAAAUAAUUUAUUUAUUUUUAUUUUUAUGUGUGUUGGUGCUUUGCCCAUGUGUACUUGUGUCCGUCUGAGUGAGGGUGACAGAUCUUGGGGUCACAGAUGGUUUUGAGCUCCCAUGUGGGUGCUGGGAUUAGAACCUGAGUCCUCUAGAAGAGCAGCUGAUGCUCCUAACCGCUGAGCCCUCUCAGCCCAAAGGUUGUCUUUUUUAUGAUGUCUUUUUAAUGCUAAAGAAUUUGAACUUCCAUGGAUCCUCUGAAGAGCAGCAAGUGCUCUUAACCACUAAACCAUCUCUCUCUCUCUUCAUCCCUCCAUCCUGUUUUUUUGAGGCAAGGUCUCUCACUGAAUCUGGGGCUAAUGAUUUGCCUCGACUUGUGGACAAGAAGCCCCACAGAUUCUCCUGUCUCCUCUGCCCAGCAGGGAGUUACAGGGACAUGAUGGUACAUCUAACUUAUGUGGGUGCUGGAGAUAAGAAGUCAGGUCCUCCCCGCCGUCAAACCUUAGUUGGAGAGACAACCCUUGGAGGUCUCCAUCAUGUCGCUCUCCUUGAAGCUUCAGGAACUCAGUGGAAGAGGGAGAGGAAAGAUUGUGGGAGCCAGAGGGUUCCAGGACAGCAAGAAAACACAACCUGCAGAAUCACUUAAAUACGUCUAAGACAAAGUCCUCUAUGUCUGAAGAAUUAGCUCACAGUCAUGAAGCAGCAGAUAAAAUUGUUACAGCAGGCUUCCUACAUAUUUUUGCAUUCCUAUAUGUUUAGGGUUGAGAACUGCUGCCCUAGAAUGAACUUUGGUGGAAUUUGUACCUCAGUUUGUCACUGGGACCUGAAGAAGAGGGGGAGAUGUUGUUGACAUCUUUCCCAGAGAAGGAAUCUUAGCAACAGUCUGUUCGUGACUGUGUAUGGCUGCGUGCAUGUGAGUGUCCAUGUGCACAGAUGACAGAAGAGGGCAGCAGAUAUCCUGGAGCUGGAGAUACAGGUUGUGAGCCAGUCCACGUAGAUGCUGGGAACUGGAUGCAUGUCCUCUCCAAGAGCCUGAGAGGUCUUGAUGGCUGAGCAGUCCCUACAGCCUUAACUUUGAACAUCUAAUCCUCCUGCCUCCAUCUCCCAAGUGCUGGGAUCAUUACCAUGCUCAUUUUAUGAAAUGCUGGGAAUCAGACUCUGCUGCUUUUUCUAUGCAAGCACUCUACCUACUGACCUACAUUCACAUCCUUUUUUUUUUUUUUUAAAGAGUAGUAUCAUUUACCAAGUAAAAUGUACACUUAGGAUGCAUUUUAGGACAUCAUAGCUCUCUAGCUAGCUAUGUGUGUCAGUUGGCUUUUUGUUUCUGUAAUAAAUAUUCAAGAUAAAUCAA